GAUGAACGCUCGCGGCAGGCCUAACACAUGCAAGUCGAGGGAGAAGCCCUUUCGGGGGCAGAAACCGGCGCACGGGUGCGUAACGCGUAUGCAACCUACCUUUCACAGGGGGAUAGCCCGAAGAAAUUUGGAUUAAUACCCCAUAAUAUUAUUGGAUGGCAUCAUUUGAUAAUUAAAACUGCGGUGGUGAAAGAUGGGCAUGCGUCCUAUUAGCUAGUUGGAGUGGUAACGGCACCCCAAGGCUACGAUAGGUAGGGGUCCUGAGAGGGAGAUCCCCCACACUGGUACUGAGACAGGGACCAGACUCCUACGGGAGGCAGCAGUGAGGAAUAUUGGUCAAUGGUCGGAAGACUGAACCAGCCAUGCCGCGUGCAGGAAGAAUGCCUUAUGGGUUGUAAACUGCUUUUAUAUGGGAAGAAUAAGGCGUACGUGUACGUUGAUGACGGUACCAGAUGAAUAAGCAUCGGCUAACUCCGUG
rnacentral:rRNA from 1 species